AUAUUUAGGACAUGUUUGGUUCAUGAUUGGAAUAGGAAUGGAAAAUGAAAUUGGAUUGCUUCAGAAUGGGAAAUGGAAUGACGAAUCAUCCAAAAAUGUUUGGUUCAUUAUUGGAAUGGAAAUCGGAAUAAAAAUCUAGAAUUUUUGAGAGAGGGUUUUAAUUAAGAGAGAGGGAAGUGAUGAAUGGAGAGGAUGGGAAGUGUUGGUGAAAGAGGAUUUUGAGUAGUUUACUUUGUAAUGGGCCAAUCCGGGAUUCAAAGCCGGAUUGGACCAUAAAUGGAUUUAGCCAUUGAAUGGGAAUCCGAUUCCUAGAAAACAAACAACAACUAUCGGAAUCAAUGAAUCUCAUUCCGAUUCCAUAGUCUAAAAUAGCUGAACCAAACAUGCCCUUAGUGAAAGCCUGCCUUUGACACAAACAACUUCACAGGAUAAAGAAAACUUUCCUACUGACAUCUUUAUGACAGUAUGCUAAAAACUAAGCUUCAGAUAGGGCCUGGGGUUCUAACAAUUUGAAGGAUGACUGCUGAUGGUCAGCAUUAUAUAUAUCACUGUAGUAUGACUGGUGUAAACUAUCAGCAUUAUAAAUAGCUGUAAUAUGCCAAAAUAAACAAGAUCACCAGGUGGCAACUUCUCUAUCAGCACUAAAGGGGGAAGAGAAAAGAGGUUUAGAACAAAUAACUAUUCAAUAAGGCUGUGAUGGCAUAUUAGAGUAAUUUUUACAUUAAAGUGUGUGUAUAUAAUGACAUAGCAUUUGAUUAAGCGUUUAGGUCAACAUAUUGAAAUUUAUUCCCACCAAUAACAUCACAAGAUCAUCUUCUAAGGGCAGAUAAGAAGGAAACAGACGAAAUUUGCUGGCUAAGAGACAACACCAGAUGAAGCAAUUAAGAUUCUUUUCUACUAGACUAAGAAGAAACUCUCGAAUGCACAAAUUAAUCAAAACUCCACUUGAAAAUUAUCAAUAGACAUAUUCUAAGCUUAUUUGUUGUUUCGAAUUUGCUUCAUCAAAAUUAUUAUGGCACGCAAAAGGAAGAUUGAAUAUCCAGUAUAUGGAAAAUAAAUGUCAUUAAAAAUUGGCAAAAUUUGUUCACUGCAAGCAUAAAAUCUGGGCAAUAAUCAGUUAAGAGAGUGGCAGUCAACCAACAGGAAGGAAUAAAAGACGAAAUAAUAUGUUAGGUGAACAACUAUAAUAAACACAAGUCAAAGUUAUUGUAUUAGCUUUGCAAACCUCUGGGCCUUUCCACUUUGUGAUCUGUAGAAAUGAUUUGAGGCAACCAUGGUAAUACACUUCAUUCGGGAGAAACCUACUAACUGCAGUGAAAGCUAGAGUAUCCCUCUCAAUAUCAUAAGACCUACAGGAAUUCACCGAGAAGGUUAAAUUCAAUAUGGCACAUUCGAACAAGUAUAAAAGUCGAGGGAUUCAAAUUACUGAUGCUUAUUUUCCAACAGGAUAUGGAUGCAAAAUCAUUAUUCUUGUACUUUCUCCUAUUAUAUUAGCAGUUGCUGCUUGAGAAAAUUUAAAAAAACAACAAAGUAAAAGAAAGUACAGGUCAUAUCUCCACCGCCGUAUGGUCCCUGUGGCAAUAGUAAUCACAGAAAAGAUACAAACUAUCAAACUAGAGUUUCCUUCUAGCAACAAUUUAUGGUUCAACAGAUACAUAAAGAAAUACAGAGAAAGACCCAAAAUAAAAUAAAAUAAAAGGAAUAAGCAUGUAAAAAGUUUCAAAAGUACAACCUGAAUGGGUGCUCUGAAGUAUAGAAACUUGGCUUAUUAGCUUGAGCAAUGACAACAUCAAAAAGCUCCCUCCAGGAUCUUCCAUCCCUGUAGUCCUGUUCAACCAAUUGGUCAAUAAUCAAUAGGAGCAAUUUGCAGCAUAGAAUGGAUAAUUGAAACAAUAGUAAUAUAUAUUUUUCCUAACUCUGAGAAAUUGUUCAUAGAUAUAUAUUUUGAAGAAAAUACAUCAUGGUCUUAUUCUUGGAAAUUACAUAUGGAUUGACAAACAAAUAUAGAUUUAAACACUGUCAAACAUUGCUUAUUUUCUUUAAAACAGAAAUAAUCCAUAUUACGUUAGCCAGAAAUUUGCCAGUUAUUUAAUAUAAACUUGAUAAAGACAAACUUCCGCUAAAAUAAACUUCAGAAGAACAUAAUAAAUGCCUUUGGUGUUUCUCUUUGUUUAGGGAACUGGGAUUAAGCAAUAACUGCAACAAAGCAUUGACAUAUUCGGGAUUUAGCAUAUGUGCUUAGAAGGAUUAUUCAAAGAAACAGAUACACUCUGCUCCAUUCUCGAGUUCCAUGCUCAUAUUGGAUAGGGUAUGGAAACUAGCAUGUGCAAUCAAAAGAUGUUAUAAAAUAAAUAUAGCAACACACAAUGGAGAUCAUGUUGGUGUUGGGCUCCUAGAGUUAUAUUGCCUAAAACAGCUGAAAAACCAAAACACAAGAAUGCAGAGAAAUUUUACAACUUAAUAUGUAUUAUGAGAUCAAUAUUCAACGGGCAGACAUUCCAAUGAUAAGAACAUCUUUUACAAUCCUUAAAACUUCAGAAUUUAGAUACUGAGAAAUUAUAUAAAUUAGUUAACCAUAGUUCCCAAAUUUACACUAAGUUUCUAAAAUUAAAAGUUAAGAAGCCUCUAUUGUGCAUCCAGGUAAAUAGGUCAUAGUGGAUUAAAACUAAACAGAUACCAGUUUAUUUGUGAUACCAUUCUAGAUAAUCUGUGGCUUAUAUAAAUCAGGUUCAUGUAUGUUGAAAGCAUGCACCCCGCUAGGGUUUUCAUUAGUUUUUAUAAACAAUGUAUAAGAAUAGUCAUGUAACAGUCAUGUGACUUACUAAACAAAUAACAUAUAAAAUGUAUACAAGAAAUAUACUCUUAACAUAUGUAAGAACUGCAAAAAAAAUGUACACUAGCAUACAUAUAUAUAAUUAUAUCUAACACAUCGUAUUUACAGUAAUGAGGAAACUACUAUGUCACAUUCCACGGCCAACGGACAUUAGAGCACAAAAAGAUGCACUGAAUCAAAAUCGACCGGAUCAUGCAGAGGGAAAGCAAGUAAAUAAUAAAUAUGAAGACCAUAAUGAAAGAAUAUAGUAAUAAAUCAGCAGGGAACUUAUAUACCAUCAAGGUAAAAAGCUAUGAUGCACAGGGUAUGUUUGAUAACUUUGAAGUGAAAGUUUUAGUUGUCAAAAGCAUACAUACAUAUAAAUAUCUUCUAUCAAAAGAAUAAUAAGAAAGAUAGACAUAUCAAUAAGAAUAUACAUACAAUGACAUCAACCCAAACAUCACCUAUACAUAUGAUAUUUCAUCUAGCAUAGUUGUGCUUAAUUGCGAAAAAGAUGGAAGGUGCAUAUAAAUAAAUAUCUUCUAUCAAAAGAAUAAUAAGAAAGAUAGACCUAUCAAUAAGAAUAUACAUACAAUGACAUCAACCCUAACAUCACCUAUACAUAUGACAUUUCAUCUAGCAUAGUUGUGCUUAAUUGCGAAAAAUAUGGAAGGUGCAUAUAAAUUUAGGUAAAAUGAGGAAGCACCUCUAACAUGAAACGCAUUCCACCAUCCACGAAAUAGAAAGGUGAGUUGGUCAGAAGGAAAAGUUUCUUCCCCUUCUCCUUAAGCUUUUGUAGAAACUGCAAGACUUGGCUCUGCAGGUCAGAUAUAAUAGUUUAGUCUUGCAUGCUAGAUCUUCAGCAUAAUAGGUGAAAUAUCAUAUACCCACAAAUGAUCUACAUAAGUUUAAGAAAUCAAUAACUACGAAAUAUUUGUCAAUAACAAUCACAGCAAAGUGGUAAAUAUGUGCCACUUACAUUUUUCACUAGGUACUUAUGAGGAUCAGACAGAAUUGUCCUAUGUAACAGGCCGCUUUUAUGAACAUGCUGAAUAGCAUGGUUUACAUCUUCAUAUACAUAGGAAGCAUCAAAAUCCAACUUAGCAUCAACAAAAUGCUGGACGAUAUCAGCAAUAAGGCAUGCCUGUACGCAAGCAAACAUUUAUUCUUCUUCAGAUAGCAGAUAAACAAUGCAAUCAUGUAAUGCCUAACCUAGUUGGAAUGCUAAAGGAAAAAACCUCUGCAUAAAACAUCUCUAUAUACUACCAAAAUAUCAUUCCAUUUAACAGGCUAUAUAGUAUAUCCAUUUUAAGAGAAGUUAAAAUACACUUAUUGUACAAGCAGUUAGGCCGUGAGUUAGUAAAAAGAGGAAGAGGAAACCUGAGCUAAGCAGUUCUAGAAAAGAUGUUUGAGUUAGAGAAAUGGAGAGAGGAAAUGUCGCGAAGUAAAAUUCUAAAGCUUGACAAAUUAAAAUUUGAACUUACUAGUAUUAUAGUCAACUGUUAUGAGAAUAACUAAAAUAACAUCCCCAACUUAAUAUUAUCUAAAACAAGAGUAUAACUUAACAUAUACAGUCCUGCAAAUCAUAUGUUACUUUGCUAGUGCCUAUAAGCCUCAUUUCUGAACUGAUCAGAUGUGUAACACUAGCAAAUAUACUAGUUAGUGGAGAGAACAAAGAAAAUCAAACCACCAGCAUGUACGAAGUUUAUUAUUGCACUGCCAAUGUAGUAGAAAAGAAUGCAGGCAAAGUUGGAUGCCAUUGACAUUAACCAACUAGGUGACAGGAAACAAAUGGUGAGAGUUAAGUGCUUGCUUAGCCUAGCUUAUGAAAUAGCUUCUCUAUUUCAAAGCUUCAAUCAAGUGCUUGGCAGAAAAAAAAGUCUAAAGCUUUUGGUAUGGUGGGAAACUACAAUGAGAUUCUAGGCCCUAAAAGAAGGUCCAUUAUGAAGUUUUCUAUUUUGUUGUAGUUGGAAGGAAGUUGUUGCAGAAUUAUUUAUGAAAAAGCCAUAAGCCAUCAGUACUUUUUCGAAUAGGUCUACUAAAAUUAUGGCAAAAGCUCCAGCAAGCCAAAUAGGAAAGUGCCUAAUAUGGUGCUUUAUUAAUUGGAUACCAUAAUUAGAUACCAUUAACAGACUGUCAAAACAACUGCCUCAUUCUAAUGCUUCAUUUCUCAGUUUUCAAGUUCCAAAGAGGCUGAGCAACUUACUAUCUAGAGAAAGGAGAAAAUAGGUUGAAGAUGGGCUAGAAAAGCAAGGAAAAGUAAGGGGCAUAGUCAACAUUUACCUCACUAAAGCAAAAGAAAUCCAUCAGACCCACAAGUCUAAGUGCUUGAUCCCGGCCAAUAUGCCGAGUGCCAUAUAUUUCUACUAUUUUGUCCACGCUAAGCUGCUUGCAACCACCACAAACAUCACAGUUAAUUAGAAGAUAAUGGUAAAUCAGCCAAUUUCUGUUAAUCUAUUUCAAUAUAUUGAUCUUCAUUAUAUAGUAAACUGAUGACGUUGAGAAAAGAAAUGACAGCAGAACUAUGUAAAGUGUUUUUGGAAACACAAAUAUAUAGGAGCUUCAAGAAACACAAUUAUGUAGCAGACCCACAACAGGACUGAUCAGCAACAACAGAAAGUUUAACUGCAGAAAGUGACAAUACUUUGCUAUUGAGUUUUGAGUAUUAAAAAAAAAAAUUAAAGAACAAGUAAACUUCACUAGGUGAUGAGAAAUUAACCUGUAGUUUACUAGUUUUAUUACUAUAUUACUAACAGCUAAAUUUCAAGAUUAAAGUAACUUUAGUAGCUAAUUUGCUGACAUUAUUUUAUUAGCUUUUAUUAUGUGAACAAAUACCUAAUAUACAUAAGCUACAGAAACAUGUGCUGGUUGAUUCUUUUUAACAAAUCUCAAAUCGCUUAGCUCAAAGCAUUUAAUGCCAACAUAAUCGCAAUGCUAAUUAAGACUUUUUUCUUCAGCAGAAAAUUGCAAGAUUCCGUACAUUUCUAUGGCAGAUAAGUAUAUUCAUUACCUUUUUACGUCCGAAAAAGCAACCAUCUAGCUCUAUGGACCCAAAGAAAUCAAGCUUCAGAAGGCAUCCGUUGAGUUUAUCAUAGUACAGACCCCUGAUUGGAAAUUUGGGAUCAUACUCAAAUUGCAAGCAGCUCUCAGGAUACUUCAGCUAAACCAACCAAUUCACAGGCACAAGUUCAUCAAAGACUCAGCCGCAACAAUAACAACACAACUUAAAUACUAAAAUAAAGAACUUAAAGAUGGUCAACUAACCUCAUUAACAAGGUGCUUCUUUGCCAGGUCAUAGAUCAAAAUCUUGAGAUUUUCGGAGUAAUGGGCUAGCGUGUAGUCAUAGUCAAAACCGUAAACUUGUAUUGUAUCCAACCUCACAUUCUUGUUGACGUAAAUACCUAAAUUCCCCCUCAAUAACAAAAAUUGUCACGUUCAAGAUCCAUUCGUUACAAUCUUUCUUUGUCCCAAUAUCAAGAUAGAGAGAAAGAUAGAGAGAUAAUACCUUCCGGAUUCAUCUUGGGUAUUUCUUUGAGCACCUCAGGAAUGUUGUCAAAGUUCCUCUUUGCUUCCUCGAACUCACGCUGAAUCCUCUCGAUCUCAUCGUCAGCUCCAGCGGUGCUCGCGGCAUCAUCCGUUGUCAGCUCCGGAACCAGAGUUCCACUAAAUCCACGACGAAACUCCCCAAGUCCAAACCCUAAUUUCCAAAAGAAAACCAGCAAAUUCUUAAGAACUCUCUUCAAACCACUCAACACCACAUCAAGGGGGUAAGAUCCGAGCACCAACCUCUCUGACUCCUCCGAUGCGAUGAGCGCGCCAAGACGGACGGUUUCUGCGGCAAAGAGAUGGAAAACAACGUAAUCGAGAGACUAAUAGAGAGAUCGUGAGGCGAGGAGAGAAGGGUAUUGAGCUUACAACGAUUGGAUUGGAGGGGGAGAGGAAGAGGCGAAGAAGACGAGCUCGUAGCAUCGCCAAUGGAGAGAGAGAGAGAGAGAGAGAGAGAGGUGGGGAAUAUGAGGACGAGAGCGGGAGAAGGGAUUAAAAAGGGUUGGGUUUUGGGAAUGAAUUGGAGUUCGGGGUUUUUAUCGAUUCGAGGAUUCGAGUGUGGGGUAGGAACCUUGCAAAAUUGCAAGGGAUAAAAUUGCAUUCGCAGUCCAUAAACUUCACUCUCGUUUACCUUACGCCCUUGAACUUUUAACUUUAUAUUUAAAUUCUUUUUCUUGCUCGAAAGUUUUCAUUUUAGUCCUUAAAUUACUCAAUCAGCUGGAUUCGAAUCACUCAAAAGUAAAGGUGCGAGUCAACUUUGAUUCGAGAGUAAUGAAAAAAAAAAAAAUCACUAAUAAUUAUUUAAAUUCAAAUAUAAAUCAUAUAUUUAUUUGAUUAAAUCAUAAAUUUAAAAUUUAUAUUUAUAUAUAAAUCAUAUAAAUUUAUUGGAUUAAAUGUAAAAUAUAAAUUUUAAAAUUCAAAUUUUAAUUUAAUAGUUCUAUAUUUAAAUUUUGACUCUGACCUUGAAUUUGAAUUAUAAAGUUCAAAUUAUAAGCUCAAAUUUAGAUUUAAAUUUUGAUUACAAUUUUAAAUAUCAAAUUUAAAUUUCAAUAAAAAUUUAUUUUUUUAAUUUUAAUUUGAACAUGAUUUCAAUUUUGAUUUUUCUUAUGAACCAAACAAAUUAUUUUUUUGUUAUUUCAUUUUCAAUUCCGAUCUAUUUCUAUUCCUAUUUUCAUUUGGAUUCUUCUUUUUGAACUAAAUGUGUCCUAAAAGUAAAUGUAAGUAGCCGCACAUGGUUCAUAAUUAUUUGUAAUGCUCUUGCAUUUACAACACUAUCGGUCCUCUAUCUAUUUUAUACUUUGGAAUCUAGCCGUCUAAUUUCUAAUUUAAAAAAAAAAAACAUUUAAAAUAUGAUAUAAACUCAAGAAACAAUAAAUGCAUGAUGCAUAAAUGUACAAAUAUACAAAUCUAGAUAAUAAUUUGUCCUUCAAAUAGAAAUAUGGCUAAAAUAUAGAAAAAAAAAUUAAAAUAAAUAUUUUUUUACUUUCUGUUUUUCUGACUUUCAAAAAUUUAAAUUUGUUUCCCUCAAAAUUUUAAGUCGAUGCAUUUUGUCCCUCUGCCAGGUUCCGUCACUCUAUCUUUUUUUUUUCUACCGAAAAUAUUCUUAAAAAUAACACAAGUAUGUUAAUUUUUUUUUUUAUGAAAUAAGGAAAAACAAUUUAGCUAUUUUGCCUUCUCUAUUAACGCUACAAUUUUUAAAAAUAUUUUUAAAAUUUUAAAGGGACAAAAUGUAAAUUUUCAAAAGUUGAAAAUAAAAAUAAAAGAACAAAUAUUUAUAUAAAAAUUUUCUAUAUUUAUAUAAAAACGAGUAUUUGUAUUUUAUCUAUUUUCUGUAUUUUAGCGUGUUGUUUGCAAAAUUUACGCAACCUUCUAGAAGAUUCAAAGACAAAUCGAGUACGCUUUUGUUCGGAGUCGUUUUCACCUUUUUUUUUUUUUCUUUUUUCUUUUUUCUUUUUUCUUUUUUCUUUUUAUGAAGAUGCAUGUAUAGUUGCUGGUAAGCGUUAACUAACUAAUAUUUCAAAAGUACAUGCUCAUAAAAAAAAAAAGAUUCAUUGUAUUUAAAAAUUUAGCUACAGUGCUCAUAGAUUUUGCUUUAACUUGAUAUAUCUUAAUAUUUAGGUCUAUUGUUGGGUAUGAUUGUAAGCGCUAACUAACUAAUAUUUCAAAAGUACAUGCUGAUAAAAAAAAUAUAUCUGUCGCAUUUAAAAGCUCAGCUACAGUAUUCACCGAUUUUGAUCUAACUUAAUUCAUCUAGAUGUUUAGGUCUCUUAUUGGGUAUCUUGUAGUUAGAUUUUUUUUUUUUUUUAUAGACCACAUCACAAGUCAACUUAUUAUUUUUCUGAAUCUAUUAACCUAUUUUAUUUAAUAAUAAAUAGCCAAUAAAAUGCAGGGACUAAACCCUAACUUUUUGAUCGGCCGUCCAGAAUAUAACUAACCAACCAUGCUGGGUGACGUUAAUAAAAAUUUUGCUGCAAAAAUAAAAAUGUAGAGAGCGUAACGUGACGUGUCGUUCUAUUGGUUGGAUUAAGUUGAAAGAAGUCAACCAAUUUGUGCAUGAUGAUUUUAAAAGUUUUUUUUUUGUGAAUUAGAGUUACUAUAAAAAAUUAUUUUUUAGUCAUUAUUUAUUUGUAUUGUUAUGAAAAUAAAGUUUUUCUCAGUUAUAUUAUUUAUUUGGCAAGAAUUUAUAAUAUAAAAAUUUAAAGUGUGAGAGAUAAAUUAAUUAUUUUAUUUUGUUUUUUACCUUUUUUAUCUAGAUGGCUUCAACUUGGGUUGCACCAAAGUCAAUUAUGCUCUUGUACGGAGUUUGAGUUUCAAAUAAAGGUGUAGUUAUGAUAAAAACCAAAUAACGAAAAUAGAUAUUUAUGGCGAAAAAUCAGUUCACCCCGCUCUACUUUCAGUAAAAACAUGAAUACAGCAUAUUGAAUACUCCACAAUAUUUUAAAUAAUAAUUUCAAUUAAAAUGGUCUAAUCAAUUUUCAGAAAAACAUAUAUAUACAUAUAGUGCAGAGCUACUAUGCUUUCAGAAGAAUAAAGGGGUUGGUGCUUCUGACUUUUUAACCUUUCGAUCAAGGAUUGUAUAGUCGGGAUGCUAGUGGUCCUCCUUAGGAUUGAGUGGCUUUUCUAAGAUAAUAAUAUUAAUCCAAAUGUAAGAAACAAUAAAAAAGAUGGCCUUUUUGCAUAAAAAAUUCACUUAUUUUGGGCUUUUGCAAAACCGGGUCACCUUUUUCGUUUUUGCAGAUUCGGUCCGCUUUUUCAGCAAACUGACCAAAAUACCCUUAUUACUUUUUCUCUUUCCUCUUUCUCUCUCCUCUUCGUUUCUGUCAUUCUUUUUUUUUUCUCGCCGAAAAAAAAAAGGCGGACCGUCGCCUUCUUCUUCACCGUCGCCUCCCUCCUCACCAUCCUUCUUCACCGUCGCCCCCCUCCUCACCCUCCUCUCCACCGCCCACGACCCCCUCCUCCUCUCCUCCGCCGCCGCGGACCCCGAGCCCGAUCCCAUUGCCGUGGCGGCAGCGGCCGCGGCGAAUGGGGUCGGGUUGGAUGCGGAGAAGAAGACAACGGCGAAGAAGAAGAAGGGGAGGCCAAGCGACAGGGCGCAGGAGGGGGAGGCGGAAGCGAAUCGGGCGCCGCACCAGCACCGCGCGUGUUCUUCUCCGUCGGCGCUGCCCUCCUCCGCGCCGGCAAGAAGCCGCCGACCAGGCGCUCUGCUUCUCCCACACGACGACGUCGAGACGCCGCGUCCGCCGCCGACCCCGAGCCCGAUCCCGUCGCCGCAGCGCAGCGGCCGCGGCCGCGGCGAACGGGGUCGGACUGUUUUUUAUUUUAAACUGCAUAUCUUUAACAGAUAUUUAUACUGCUUCUCCUUUGUUGCACUGUUUCUCCUCUUGUUGAAAGGAGAAAACAGUGCAACAAGAGGAAAAACAGUGCAACAGAGGAGAAGCAGUAUAAAUAUUCUCUUAAAUGGGUGCAGUUUAAGAUAAAUGGGUGCAGUUUUUUUUCUUGUUGCACCAUUUUUUCUCUUGUUACACUAUUUUUAUUUUUAACUACACAUCUUUAACAGAUAUUUAUACUGCUUCUUCCUCUUGUUGCACUGUUUUUUUCUCUUGUUGCACUGUUUCUCCUCUUUAAAGAGGAGAAACAGUGCAACAAGAGGAAAAACAGUGCAACAAGAGGAGAAGCAGAUUAAAUAUCUCUUAAAUGAGUGCAGUUUAAGAUAAAUGGGUGAGUUUUUUUUCUUGUUGCAGUAUUUCUCCUCUUAUUACACUAUUUUUUAUUUUAAACUACACAUCUUUAAUAGAUAUUUAUACUGCUUCUCUCUUUUUGCACUGUUUCUCCUCUUAUUGCACUGUUUCUCCUUAAAAGAGGAAGAAACAGUGCAAUAAGAGGAGAAACAGUGCAACAAGAGGAGAAGCAGUAUAAAUAUCUCUUAAAUGGGUGCAGUUUAGAUAAAAAAUAGUGUAACAAAAGGAGAAUUAUGCAACAAGAGGAGAAACGAUGCAACAAGAGGAGAAAACAGUGCAACUUUCAUUUAAAGAGUGUAAUUUUUAUCUUAGUGGGUGCAGUUUAUAUCUGAAAGAGUGCAAUAAGAAGAGAACAUUGUAAAUAUCUUUCAAAGAGUGUAAUUUUCAUUUAAAAAGUGUAAUUUUUUUUUUAAAGCUGCAGUUUACAUCUUAAGUAGUGCAACUUGUAAUUUUUUGUAGUUAACGAUACAAUUUCAUCUUCAUCCUUUUUUUUAUAUAAUUUUUUAUCUUUAUUUUUUUUCUGUUUUUUUUUUGUCACCCUCUCUGUCAAUAGCCACGGUGUCGGUGACGACGCCGCUAAAGACCCCCCACUCCGAGGCUGCAGCGCCGCAGUGAUCUCCACGGUGUCGGCGUCGGUGUCGGCGAAGAUGCAUCGUCGUCGGAGGCAGCAGAGAAGGAGGGAGAAGGAGAGACGGGAAGGGCAGGGAAGAGCGAGAGAGGCGCCGUCGUCGAAAACUGUGGAGGAGAGUCAGAGAAGAAAAGAAAAGAAAAAUGCAAAAAAAAAAAGUCACAGUCCGGCCUUAGGGGGAUCGGAGGCGAGGAAGGUGGGGGCGCCGGUGGCGACGCCGCUUUGUCUUCACCGCUCUUUGGGAAGAGAAAGAAAAAAAAGAAUGAGAGAAAAAAGAGAAAAGAAAAAGGUAUAAGGGCACCUCCGCUCCGUUUUCGCCGCUCUCUGGGAAGAAAAAGAAAAAAGAACGAGAGAAAAAAAAGAGGAGAGAGAAAGAGGAAAGAGAAAAAGGUAUAAGGAUAUUUUGGUCAGUUUGCUGAAAAAGCGGACCGAAUCUGCAAAAGCCAAAAAGAUGGCCCGAUUUUGCAAAAGCCCAAAAUAAGUGGAUUUUUUAUGCAAAUUGGCCAAAAAAGAUUGAUUCAAAGGCCAAAAAGUUAGAAACACCAACUCACUUGUACUUUCCAAAAAGUAUAAUAACCGUACUAUUAUAAAAAAUACUAUCAAUACACCCUAUAAGGCUUAGUUUGGUAUUGAAGCCUAUCAAAGGCUAUUAGAUAAAAUGGAGUUGAGAAAAAAACAUAUAGGGAUAUGCUUUUACAUUUUCCGGUGGGACCGCAGAAAAUAUAUCGUAACUGACUCAUUGCGAUAUAGGGAACGCAAUAUUACGUACGGAAACAAACAUGGUACUUUUCCGACGUAGUUUCUCACCACACGAAACGUUAUCUCCCCGCAAUUCCAAACGAAGCCUAAGUAAGAUGUAAAUCUUAUUUAAAGACAUAAAGAUUUAUUUUUAAUUUUGUAGUAUUCCAAAAGAAAUAGAUAAAAUUAGUAAAAGUGUUAUUAGUCUUUCAAUGGUUAGGUUAUAAAAUUUACUCUAUUUUAUAGGUGUACCAAUAGAAUUAUUUGUCAUGGGCAUUACCAAAUUAAUAAUAUUGAAGAGUUUUUUUUUUUUUUUUUUAAAUCCAUGGUCACAACCUUUUUAUAAAACCAUAAGUCAACUUUGGGUGAUGUAUGUCCCAUUGUCAUCGAAUUGAGGAGAGGAAAAUUAUGACUUUUUAUUUUGUUUAAGACAUCAAAUGAAACACAAUACAUAGAAGGACCGCAGAAAAUUAUGACUUUUUAUUUUCCGGUGGGACCGCAGAAAAUAUAUCGUAACUGACUCAUUGCGAUAUACGGAACGCAAUAUUACGUACGGAAACAAACAUGGUACUUUUCCGACGUACUUUCUCACCACACGGAACGUUAUCUCCCCGCAAUUCCAAACGAAGCCUAAGUAAGAUGUAAAUCUUAUUUAAGGACAUAAAAAUUUAUUUUUUAUUUUGUAGUACUCCAAAAGAAAUAGAUAAAAUUAGUAAAAGUGUUAUUAGUCUUUCAAUGGUUAGGUUAUAAAAUUUACUCUAUUUUAUAGGUGUACCAAUAGAAUUAUUUGUCAUGGGCAUUACCAAAUUAAUAAUAUUGAAGAGUUUUUUUUAAAAAAAAAAAAUCCAUGGUCACAACCUUUUUAUAAAACCAUAAGUCAACUUUGGGUGAUGUAUGUCCCAUUGUCUCUUACAUCCAAUUGAGGAGAGGAAGGGCCUCAAAUUAUGACUUUUUAUUUUGUUUAAGACAUCAAAUGAAACACUAUACAUAAUUACAUAGAAGGACCUGUUGCACUCAUGGAAGCCAAUUCCACCUUUUGCUCCACCUUUUCCAUCUUCAAUAGAAAAGUCAAUUAUAUCGACCGUUCCUGAAACAAAUGGCAAAGGCUUGGCAGUGGGUACCCGAGGUCCCAAUCACAAAUCCUAGUUAAUUCACAUUUCCAGCUAAGUUUAUUUCUAAAUGAAAUAAACGAAACAAGUAGCGUACUACUUAUCUCUCAAAAAAAUGAAAAAGAAAAAAGUCAAUUAUUCAAGGAAAAACAAUUGUCACAACCCCUAAACUUUUGCCCAAUUUACAUGUCGAUCAUGUGGCUUUUAUAAUAUUUUGCUCUGAUGCUAUGCUGCUCAAAAAAUUGAUUUAAUAGCUAGAAAAAAAAUUCAUAAUUAGUUUUAACACAUUCCUCAUUCCUUAUUCUUGUAUUAAUUUUUGAAAUUUUAGAAUGACAUGCACCAAUCUCAUUAUUAAUUAUAGUUUCAAUAAGAGAUAGGAUGUUGAGUAAAUUAUUAGGCAACUGCGACCAACAUAGUGAUUUGCCAGAUUCAAAUGUUUUUUGUCUCCUCCAUGAACACUUAAAAAAAAUAAUGAUAAUUAAAUAUAUUAAAAAGUUAAUCAGUACAAUUAAAAUUUUAAAAGAUUGAAUAACUAACUUAAAAUAGAGAAAACUUUAAAUACCACCCAUGUGAUUUCGCACUUUUUUAUUUUCGUAUCAUGUGAUUUAAAGUGUAUUAAUUUAAUACCCCGUGAUUUUUUUUCUUUUUAUUAUUCCCUUCACUAAUUUUUUUUCGUUAAAUCAGUUACAAAGUUAAAACUAAAAGAUACUCAAGUAAUUAUUCGAUCAACGUAGGUGAGGUAUCUGAAGUUUUUUGUAUAUAAUAAUUUAACGAAAUAUUAACGGAGUAGCUGACAAAAAGAGAAAAAUGAAACCACAUGGUACUAAAUUAAUACACUUUAAACCAUAUGGUACUAAAAUGAAAAAAUGUGAAACCACAGAUAUGGUAUUUGAAGUUUACCCUUUAAAAUAAUUAACAGUUCAAAUAGACUUUGUAUGUCUUUACCAAAUAAAGUUCAGCUACUAUGCUAUCAAUAGCACUAGGCGCUUUGUGCUACAAAGUUUUUCGCCCUUAGAUUUACUCUUUUAAUCAUUUUCACCCGUUAGAUUAUAUUAUUCAACCAAUCACUCACUCAACUCUAGGAAAUCACUAUCAUCUAAGGGCCGAAAACUUACUAGCACUAAUAAUUUGGUGCUAUUAAUACUACAGUAGCCUAGUUCUACAAAAAUAAUUAAUAAUUACUAACAGGGAAAACUUCAAAUACCACCCUUGUGGUUUCACACUUUCUUACUUUAGUACAUAUGGUUUAAAAUGUAUCAAUUUAGUGCCAUGUGAUUUUAUUUUUAUCUUUUUACUAUCGAUUUUACUAGUUUUUUUCGUUAAAUCAGUGAUAAAGUUAAAACUAAAGGAUACUAGAGUGAAUACUCGAUACACCUAGAUGAGAUAUCUAAAGUUUUUUUUAUAUAUAAUUUAACAAAAUAUUAACGAAAAAGCUGACGAAAAGAUAAAAAUGAAACCACACGACACUAACUUGAUACACUUUAAACCACAGGGUACUAAAGUAAGAAACUGCGAAACCAUAGAGGUGGUAUUUGAAGUUUAUCCUUAAUAAUAGAGAAAACUUCAAAAACCCCUCCUGUGGUUUCAUACUUUAUCAUUUUAGUACCAUGUGGUUUAAAGUAUAUCAAGUUAGUACCUUGUGGUUUUUCACUUUAUCACUUUAGUACCCUGUGGUUUAAAGUGUAUCAAGUUAGUACCUUAUGGUUUUGCACUUUAUCACUUUAGUAUCUUAUGGUUUUAAUUUUGUAUCAAGUUAGUACCCUGUGGUUUUUAAACCAGAGGGUACUAAAGUGAUAAAGUGAGAAACCACAGGGUACUAAAGUGAUAAAGUACAAAAUCAUAGGGUACUAACUUGAUACACUUUAAACCCCAGGAUACUAAAGUGAUAAAGUGAUAAACCACAUGGUACUAACUUGAUACAUUUUAAACUACAGGUGAAAAAAAAUAAAACUACAAGGGGGCUUUUGAAGUUUUCCCUUAAUAAUAAUAAUAAUAAAGGAGGGAACAUUUGUAUUGUCUACAGAUGACGUGGUAGUCCAGGUCCAGUGAACAGUAUCAGGCACCCAACUGCUGACGUGGUGAACCCGGUCCACGCUCCACAAUCUCCCGAACGUAAACGAACCCCGUCACCUCCGCUCCAUGUGGCGCGCUUUUACCAUACAAACGCCACGCCCAUCCCCACCCCGUGGUUGCAUAACAAACCCCCCACCCCCCCUCCCCCCCUCCGCGCGCAACGAAAACGAAAUACAAAAAAAAGAGCUCAUAGUUGUCUCCGCACCACGCGAUACCCCUCCCUCUCUACCCCCUUCACGAGAAAGCGAGAAACUCUCUCUCUCUCUCUCUCUCUCUCUCUCUCUCUCUCUCUCCAUUCCCAUCCAUUCCCCCUUUCCCCUUUCCCCUCCACCUCUUCGAUCCGAUCGAGCGAUCGCGGCUCUAGGGUUUGCAAAUCGGAGGAGAUGAUCCCCGAUCUGUGAACGCGCGAUCGAUCGAUUUGGCGUUGCGGUGUGGAGAUUCGAGCGAAUGGAGAGGAAGAAGUACCCGAUCCGGGCGGAGGAUUACGAGCUCUACGAGAUCGUCGGGCAGGGGGUGAGCGCGUCCGUUUAUCGGGCCCGCUGCGUCCCCCUCAAUGAGAUCGUCGCGAUCAAGAUCCUCGACUUCGAGCGGGAUAGUAGCGAUCUGGUAUGGUUCGAAUCGGGAAUGAGUAACUUUGUGUUUUCAAUUUGUUUUUCUUUCCCCUUCUUUUCGAUGCUAAUUAUCGAUAUGAAAUCCAGAUCUUGUAGGAUUUGAAAUCUUGUUAUACGAUUGCUCGUUGAUCGAUCGACUAGAGUUACUGCUAAACGUUCUUUUCUUAAUCUCCCGUUCAAGUGUGUAUUAGAAACAAUUAUUAUCGGAUCAAUUUGAUCUUGUUACCUUUGGAACAAGAGGUUAUAAUAAGUAUUCAGAAUUUUUUAUCACUUUAUACAUGCAGAUCGACAAGCAUACAUGCUGUGUUGAGCUUGAAAGGAUGGUUGAGCACAUGCAAAGUUGUUGUAUUAUAUCUUUUUAAUCGAUCAAAUACAUGCAACCGUUCUGUUGUUUUAUUCUCUAUGUCAUUGAUUUAAUAUAUAAUGAACAUGCUUAUUUUGUAUUUGAAUAAUUGUCUAUGAAAGUGGCUACUUCUGAACACAGUUUUAAUUUUAUAUUAGUAAGAAAAAUAAAUGAAAAUUUUAAAAAUUGGUAGAAUAAAAGAAAAACACUAAUGCAGCGAAAUGCAUCCUCUGUUUUUCUUCUUUUUAGACUUUUUUCGAAAUGUGUGAUUUAAUCUACUGGACUAUCUUAAUGGCAGCAAUCAUGUGUCAUCGUAAGUAUUAGCAUGAUGCAUAUUAAUCACGGUAUGUAUAAUUUUCUUUGUUAUAUUCCUGAUGCUUGUUGCCUUUUUUUUUUUUCUGAGAGAGAGAGAGAUCCUUUUUUUUUUUUUUAAUUACACACUCCUCUGUUUUCUUGUGAAACAUCAUACCUGAUUGGUUGAAGGCGAGGUCUCAAUAUCGUUGUUUCUGUGCUUUUAAGUACCGCAGCAUCUUGAUCAUUUGAACGGCAUUUAUUUAAACACACACCCACACCCACACACGCCGACCCCCCCCGCCCCAACCCCCAACCCCCAACCCCAAAACCUACUUUAUGUAACAAAAGUAACUAUUUAAUUACCAAUUAUUGGACAUCACUUGAAUCUGAUAUUACUCUUUCCUGAAUGGUACUGCUGCAAUGAGAUCCUCUGGAUAUAAAAUGCAUUUCCAUGAAAGAUUUCUUCUACUGUAGUUCUUGCUUUUAAAUGACUUUCAUUUUCUUUAUACAGGGAAACAUCACCCGUGAAGCACAAACUAUGAUCUUGAUUGACCAUCCUAAUGUUCUGAAAGCACAUUGUUCCUUUGUAAAUGACCAUAACUUAUGGGUUGUCAUGCCUUACAUGGCUGGAGGAUCUUGUCUUCACAUAAUGAAAUCAGCCUAUCCUAAUGGUUUUGAGGAAGUUGUGAUUGCAACUGUGCUGCGUGAAGUCUUAAAGGGCUUGGAAUAUCUUCAUCAACAGGGUCAUAUACAUCGCGAUGUAAAGGUAAAUGAGCAUCUAUUUCUAAAAGCAUUGAUUGGUCGUCAUUACUUGCUUAUCAUUUUCUCUUCUUCUUUUUUUUGAGAAAAAUGUAGCAUGCUACCACUUCAUUCAUUUAGGAGGUAGUCUAAGCUACAAAGAGGCAACCAGGCCUCAUAGAGAGAGUUAAGAAAAAAAAAAAACAGGCGAUUACUUGCUUAUCAUUUUCAAAGACAGGCGAUUACCUGAUUUAAUUUCUCAACUACCUCUAGCUUCAUUGCCAUAAGUUAGCCCUGUGAAAAAACAGACUACUUGCACUAGCAUUAUCGCUUGAAUGGGUGAAUCACAUAGUGCAUCUCAUGCUAAAUAGGUAUUCUAAUCUUAAUAUUGGUAUGCCUAUGUGUUGUUUUGUGAACUUAUAACUUCGAUGAUUACUAUCCAAAUGGUAUUUUGCUUGCUUUUGAGAUUGUUUACUGUAUACACCAUUUUUUAAUGAGUAUAAUUCUUUAUUGAGUGUGACUUCUUUCGAUUGAUUGCGGGCACCAACCUUGUAGUUAAUAAAGUUCAGCAUGCGAUGUGAAAUUUGGCUUAUCAAAUUUCUUCCUAUAUGGUUUGGGAGCUUUUCUUGAGCACUCAAUUCCUGCUUUUGCUAUAUUGUCAGCAGAAUGUUCAAUAGAACUAUAUAAUAAUUGAUGGGGAAAUCUGUUUCAUCCUGUAUUUGCUAUCUUGUUCUGCGAAGUGUUUUAAGUGUCCUCCUAAUUGCCAUUGCUACAGUUGUCUCAUCUGCCAAAUGGAUUGUUCCAUACUAUACUUUUCUCUUUUUUUCAAGUGAUUACAUGAGAAAACAUCCAUUGAACAUACAGCCAUUGUCCGAAGGGGACACAGCUAAUUAUGUAAAUCUAAAGCGCUAAUACAUGGACUGCACAAAAUCAUGAGCCGGUUGCUUCUGUUAAUAUAGCAGUGAUUCAUCUAGUAAGCUGCUAAAUGGAGAUGAAUAGUCGUGCUUGCGCUCAGAAGCAGUUGCUUUAGAAGGCUAAGUAAAAGAUGCUGAACAUGAAGGAAAAUGAGUGGCCAAAGAUUUAGAGCAAGUUUGAAGUUGUGUAAAGGAGAGGAUAAUAGAAUGCCAAAUGGCUGAUACUCCUGUGGCCCAAGCUUCCAAAAACUGAUUAGAACAGACAGAAGAUUGAUAAAGAUGAGGGUGAUGCUUUAAGAAGUGGAAAGCUACCCAUUCACAUAAAGUGUCCUUAAUUUUAUUUUUCUCUUGUAUUUUUGUAUCAUAAACGUGGCCUCAUAGAUAUUUUGGACAAGCAUAAAUGAUCCUACACUCUAUAAUAACGAGAAACUUUGUGCCCUGCGAAACCAUAUCAUUGUUCAUGGUGCUGUCAAUGCUGGAAAUUUCAUGCAGUAUGAAUAAUUUUCUGGACUUUUCCUGAAUAUACUCACUCACUAAGAUUGAGAUAUAUUAUCUUCUCUUGCAGGCUGGAAAUAUCCUAGUUGAUGUACGAGGUGGAAUUAAGCUUGGAGAUUUUGGGGUCUCUGCUUGCCUUUUUGAUUCUGGUGAUAGACAGCGCACCAGGAAUACAUUUGUUGGGACACCUUGCUGGUGCUUAUUCUAACCUCAGAAGCAUCUUAAGAUGCCCUUAAAUUUCUAUGUUCCAGGUCAAAAUCUUUUGUUUAUUUUGAUAGGAUGGCACCAGAGGUGAUGGAGCAGCUACAUGGCUAUGAUUUCAAGUUGGUCUAUUGACAUUUCUUAGUCACCGCAUUAUCUUCUUAUGCAGAAAUCCUUGGUGUGAGUAUGUUCUCAUGCAUAUGCUUUUAAUAAUUGAUAUACAGGGCAGACAUAUGGUCGUUUGGCAUCACUGCCUUAGAACUUGCUCAUGGUCAUGCUCCUUUCUCCAAAUAUCCUCCAAUGAAGGUAUAUUUUGAAUAGAUAAUAGGAUAUCAAAUAUUUGAUAUUCUGUAAAGAGUUUGUAUGCAAUAGCUUUUGUAUUUAUCUAUAGUACGUGCAGUCAUGCACACUAGACAUCAUUUCAGUAGAUAAUAGUUGAGUCCAUGCGAGUUAGAUGACUAAAAGGGUCCUUUGUGGAAGAUAUUGCAAGGAAAGUUUUGCUUUAUAUGAAGUCCUUAAAUCUAGUUCACCUGACAGGUCUUGCUUAUGACCUUGCAAAAUGCUCCGCCUGGCCUUGACUACGAAAGGGACAGGAAAUUCUCACGGGUAUAACUCUUUUUUUAUAGCAAACGCUGCAUAUAUUCUGUUUGAAUGUGUUUCCUCACUCAUCCACUGAGUUCCCAUCUAAACAUAUAGCAAUUACUCUCAUUUUUGAAAAAUAUAGUAUAAUGAACUAUAUAUCUUCUAUCACAGUUUUUUAGGCAAAUGAUCGGUAUGUGCUUGGUGAAAGAUCCUUCGAAAAGGCCUUCUGCAAAAAAGCUCUUAAAGCAUCCUUUCUUCAAGCAAGCUCGGUCUCAAGAAUUCCUAAAUCGAAAAAUUUUGGAGGGAUUGCCCACUCUUGGUGAUCGUUAUCAGGCUUUAAAGGUUAGAAUCAUGGCUGAAUUUUCAUCAUAACAGACUAGCAAUUAGCUCUUGGUUCUAAUGAAUGUAUUGUACGCUAUAAUCUUGAUAAACAGGAAAAAGAAGAAGACUUGCUUGCACAGAAGAAAAUGCCAGAUGGAGAAAAGGAAGAGAUAUCACAGGUUUUGCUAUCAUUAUUAUAUUCCUCUCCCUGAUACUUGUUUCGUAUUGUUCAUCAGGACUGAAAAAUUCUCAUGGCACAUGCCACCAUCUGUUUAAUUUUGCUCAUUAUUAUAUUCCACUCCUGUUCUUUCUGAGAUUAGCUGAGAUCAGGUAGUGGAAACCAUUGCAAUGUGCACAUACCACUGAAGAUAUUUUUAAUGGUUUUUUCUUUUUCUUUUUUUGUUUGAAUGAAAGGUGAAGAGAGUACUAGACUACUACCCUAAAAGAGAAGUACUAUUCAGAGAAAGCAGAAUGGGUGCAAAAUAGAAUCUGUGUAUCCCCUCACAUAAUCACACUAACACAACAUGAUUUGCAGUCUUUCUCCUACUAUCCAGAACCUUCUGAACAUAGCUUGUCUUCAAUCAUGGUUAUGGAUAGUAUUCCUUUCAAAAAAUGUUCAUGGAUAUAAUUAGCAGUGUUCUACCUAGGAUAUUAUGUGGGAGAACCUCGUAAGCUCAGCCAUAUAUUGCCCUUUGGCAAGUCAGUGUACUUAAGAAGGAUUUUCUUUAUUUGUUCUUCUCUUAAAUCCACAAGAUAGCCCUGAAGAGUUUUUUUUUUUUUUUGAGAGAGAGAUAGGUAGCACGCUACCCGCUUAGUUUAUUUCAUUUAGAAAUAAAUUUAGGUAGAAAUGUGAAUCAACUAGGAUUUGAACUUGGGUCUCGGGUACCAACCACCAAGCCCUUUGCCACUUGCUCUAGGGACGGUCGGUAUAGCCCUGAAGAGUUAAUCAUCUCUUUUCUUUAUUUUGCAUUCUUAAAAUCACAGUUUUUUAUAUCAAAUGAUAAUUCUCUUUUCAUAGUUGUAAUUAGGAGCUAAUUUUUUCAUUUCACUUUUCGUAGAAUGAGUACAAAAGAGGAAUCAGCAGUUGGAACUUUGACAUUGAGGACUUGAAGGCUCAAGCUUCACUGGUAAGUGUGUGGCCUCACUACUCUUUCCAAGAAUUCAGUUGAAGUUAUUCCUGAGGGAUCACUACUCUUUCCAAGAAUUCAGUGGGUAAUAAAGUGUUAUCCUCUGUUAACCUUUGGAAUUCAUUCCUGAGGGAUUAGGGAGAAAUGGAGGAGUGGGAAGCUUAUUCACUGUUCUCCUAUUACCAUGUAUUUUGUAUUUUGUUUACUCUCAAAUAGGGUGCUCCGUGUUUAAUUAAAAAAAAAAAAAAGAAUUCAGUUGAAGUUUCCUAUAAUAAACUUCAUUAUUCUUCAGCUUCCAGAUAAUGAGGAUAAUAUUCCAAUUAAAGAUCCUGAAGGGUGCGCAAGUUCUUUGUUUGAGAUCGAUGCAUCACAUGAAAGGAACCAAGAAAGCUCGCCGUUUGCCGCCAGUUGCUCAUUGAAAUACGAAAUGGAGUCGGUAAGUUUCGACUUUCAUAUAGAUGGUGAUUUAAGAAGGUAAAAUAUGUUGACUGUUCUCUAACGGCUAGCAAGAUUGCUAGGAAAAUGAUGAUGUAAUGGCCCGAAACAAAUUCACUCCCAUUUCAUCACCCGAUCAAACUAGUUCUCAGAGGUAAAUAUUGGCUUCCACCAUUUAAUUUUUAUGAUGUUGAGAGAUGCUACACCUUGUUUUUUAAUUCUCCACAGAGAUCCAUGUGAAAAUAACUUAUACUAUCUUCCAUGAGUAUGUCAGUAGCUUGAGGCAAUUUAUUUUACAUUAAGGUUGUAACUUUAGCAUGCAAACCAUUAGUUGGCAUGGCCCAGUAUUCCAACAUGUCUGCAUGCAUUUUCUGCUGCUGGUAUAACAACCAUGUGCCUGCCCUGUAUCUGCAUAGGGAUUGUAGUUUUUUUUUCGAUAUUUUAUUCCAUUUGUUCCUAAAUGUAUUUUAUCUAAUCUUUUUAACUCUGUCAAUUGAUUAGUUGUUUAUUUCAAAUAAAUUCCAUGAAAGCAAUAUGGGCUGUUAUUUUAUUUGGACUUAAAAAUUUGGUGAAUGGCAAACUGCUCCCAAGUUUAUUCUCAAUUUCAUUGAAAUCUUCAAUGUAAAUGUAUUGUGAUGCUUACAAUGGAUAAACAAAAAGAUCUAUAAAUUGUGUCGCUAAUUUCCUAUGCAUCACAGACGUGGCUUCAUGUCCGACAUGGACGUGCCAUGGCACAUGCCAUUGAAAAAGUAUAUAUUUUUUUAUUUUACUCUUUUUAUGCAUAUAUAAUAUAAGAUGAUAAAUACUUUGGCUCUUUAAUGAAAGCAUAUGUACUCUUUUUGAACAGUAUAAAUAAAUUAUGUAUUUCUUUUCUUAUAAUAUAUGAACUAUCAAUGAGAAUUUUAUGAACUUUCAUUCAUAUGAGAAAUAUAAUAAUAUUUUAGCAAAACUAAUAUAUUAUAUAUAAUUAACAUAUUAUUAUAUUAAUAAUAUUAUAUUCUAUUAGCAUUGUCUAUGCCGUAUCCGUGUCCUAGUUUUUUGAAGCAAUUGAGUUGUUGUGUCCACGACGCCUAGCUAAUUUCAUCUAGUCAUUGUAAAAUUAAUUGGAUUAGGUGAAAACAAGGGAACAAAUUGGGAAAUCAAUUUCCCCUCAUGAAAAACUUCCAUUUUAUCAAACUUGGAUGAUUGCAAAUGCAUGAAUAGUAGUAUAAUGGGGUUUGGAAUAAAACGUCAAAAUUGUUGUUGAAAAUAUUGGACUAGUAUGGUAUUCAACGCUCCUUGCUGAACAGCCACUUGAAACCUUGUUUUACACUGUUUUGCACAUGGAUGGCUGUGCCAACCAUGUUGAUCAGCAUAUAUCAGCAUGAGCCAUGCAGAUAGCUUGUUAACAUGGUGCAGCAUCCACGCUGGCACCCUGUGCUACAUGCCUAUCUGUUUAUUCAGUGCUGCUAUAUCUCAGCCAGACACGUGAGCAAGCCCUAAGGCCAAGGUGUCAUGGUGAAGUAAGAAUGAUUUUGGUCAGAAAACCAUCACUUGUAUAAAGAAUCCCUCAUUAAGGUUACUUUUGCAAGUUGAAUUAAGUGGUACAUAGUCAGAUAUAUGUCCUGAAUUAUCUCCAAUACAGAUAUACAGUCUUGAAAAGUGAAGCAAAUUGAUUUUUCUCCUUUUUGGUACAGCACUAAAUCUGAUGCAUCUGAUAGCGAGUUUAAGACUAAUGGUACAGCUGGUCAGCAUGAUAUUAUAUCAAAUGGAAAUUGCAGAGAAAAUUGUGUUGCUGAAAGUUAUGAAUCAGUGAGUGAUGAAAAAAAUGCUGUGAGUGUUCCGGCUAAUUCUUUUCAUGAAAGGAGGUUUUCUACAAGUUCUUUCUCCUCAGAUAUUUCUUCUUUAUCAAAACUGCCAAGGUAUGUUAAAUUUCAUACAACUACAAAAGACAUUGCAUGUGGCAGUCAUCUCUGUUACUAGGCUCUCAUCAUAUUUGUACAAUAUUAACAUGGCCUACAAUUGGAUUUCAACUGCCAACCUUUUCGCUGGCUUUGGAUUUUGAAGUUUGAAUGCAAUUUAUGUUCUGUUUACAAUAGCCCCAUGCUGCAAAGUCUCUAUGAGGUUUCGCUCUGUACGCUAUAUUCUGUUUGUCAUAGUCAUAGUGCUUCAUUUCUGUCUAGAGCAACUUGUCUUUUUUAUUUUGAAUUUUGAAGGUCACACUAUCUUUUAUUAUCUACCAUCAAGAGUUACAGAAUUCAAGGAAUAUAAUCUUGUACUUUUCCUUGAACAAUAUUUCUUGCCUAUCCACAUUUAUCCCAUUAUCGUUACAUUAUAGUCAUUAUUACAAUUAUUUCCACAAACCAAAAAUUAAACUCACUUCAUUUUUGGUUACCCUGGGAUAAGAGGAUAAGCCAGGGAUUGAAAAAGGUUAUCCAACCUAAAUUUAUCAUUGAACCAAGCUGUACCUACCUAUAUGUAUAUCCCAUUAUUCUUAGUUAAAACUAAAUAAACAAGCAGUUGUACUAGGGUUGUGAUUCGUAAUUUGUGAGCCAUAAUACUGAAAUUGGGGAGAGAGAAAGAAAAGUAGAAGGGCCAAAAGAGAAAAGAGCAAGUAAAUUGGAGAGUAGACCUUCACUUCCUGAUUGAAGUCAGUGGUGAUUCUUGUGUGAUUGUUAUUCCCCAACUAAACUAAACAUUGCAAAUUUUGAGUGAUGCGUGUUUUUGUUUUCAUAGAUGUGGAUCCUCUUUUUAUUUAGAUUUGCAUAUUCAUGCAUUCUGUUGUUUUUGUUUUUGCUUAGACAUGAUUUAACUACUGUUUGGUUCUUUCAGUUUGAAACACCAACAUAGCAUGCGUGGCAUAGAGAAAGGCAACGGAGUGCCAUCCAAUGUAGUAGAUGAAGAAUCUACUGAAGGAAUACUUAAAAUAUCCAAACCAGCAGGUGUGCACAUUUAAAGGAUGUUGCAAUAUAAGGUCCCUGUACUGCUGUAACCAAAAUUUGAUUUAUAUCUGUGACAUUCUUGCUGCAGCAUCGAAUGCUGAUGAUAGUGAUGAUAAAUCAAAACCUCCAGUUGUACAGCAGAAGGGUCGUUUUAAAGUGACCUCUGAGAAUAUUGACCUAGAUAAGGUAUUCUAAAAGCACACUUUCUCCUUGUUGGUUCAAUUUGGUUUUAAUGCAGUUCUUUUUCCCUCUUCUCAAGGCUCUUCCAUCUAUUGGCAUCCCAAAGAGCCACAGCAUGCAGGUUAGUAGCAGUUCUAUCUAUUAUUUCUAUGGCAGUUACUUUCUAUGAAAGUGCCAUUCCCUGCAUUUCUACGGAAAUAUGUAAGAGUACUCUGGAUUAAAAAUAGAUGCAAUACUUUAGGAUAAUAUGUUUCGAGGAUGUAUUAGUUAUUACUUCAGUCGAGACACAUAUAUUUGAAAGACUAGAAUUUUUGCUGAAUAAGCUGUGAUAAUCAAUAUUCAUUCUAUAGUUCAUCAUAAUAUUUGCUACACCUCAGUAGUCUAUGACAUACUCAGCUAUAUUCUGCUCGUCUCUUAGCGGCUAAUGGGAAAUAAAUAAUUUCUGAUGCAUCCUAGCAUCGUUGCAGAUAAGUUGCUAAGUUUUGUGCAAUCAAAGCGUGAAAGUUUGGCAGAAUCAUUUACUUUUUCUUGUUUCAAAAACAAUAUAUGUAACUUAUGACACAGGUGAUUUCUCAGCUUCCGACAAUAAGCAUCCCUUCAACAGCUGGUUAUACAUCAAGCCUUCUUGGUUAUUCUAUUUUCCCACAGCUGCAAGGUAUUUUGCAAGCAAAUAUGCUCCAAAGGGUAUGUAUUUUCUUUUCUUCUUUUUUUUUCUUUUUUUUUUGUUGAUGCCCUUUUACAUUUCUUAUCUUCUCUCUAUUUCAGGACAAUAUUCUUAGUUUGAUGAAGCAGUUGAGCAUUAGUGAGCAAUCACCUGUUUCUGCAUCUUCAUCGAGUCGUUCCCCUGAGGGAGUAUUACCAUCAGUUCCUGCCAUUAUAACUGAAAAGUCUGCCAUUAUAACUGAAAAGUCUUUGGUAAGCGACAGCAAUAUUUGUUGUAAAUUAUAAUAAUUUUUUCUUGAUCCUGCAAACUAUGCAAUCUAUUCUUCGUUCUUGUUAGCAAUGCAUAUGCUAAUAUCAGUCAAGCUGCUUUUCCCUAUGAAAUAUAGAUAUAUCUUUGAUAUCGCGUUAGGCUUCCAUAGACCAAAUCGGUUUCAUAUUGCAGUGGCUUCAUUAUUAACACUUGAUGAAACACCCUAUAGCAUAACUAUGCUGCCUAGGAAUUGAAGCCCCAAAUGCAAAUCUAGUUAAUAUUCAGGAGGAACCUUUUAUAGUAGCUUUGUUGCAACAAAGUCAUUUAUCUAGAGUUUUUUUAUUCUGUGUAUUUCUUAGUGAUCGAUUGCAAGAACUCCUCUCUUGCAGUUAGAAGCAGCACAAGAAAGAGAGAAGGAACUGAUACAAGAAGUCACUGAUCUGCAGUGGAGGUAUUGACCUUGUCAAGAACGACCAGACGCCAUUCUAGACACAAAUAUGUGUGCCCAUUUCUAAGAUACAUCGGUUUCAUUCGUGCAGGCUGAUAUGCGCGCAGGAUGAACUACAGAGGCUUAGAGCCAGGAAUCAGUUUUGAUGCAGAUACAGCUUACUGUGCAUGAUGAUAUGAAGACAUCAAAAUGUUACACUGUCCCAGCUAUGCCGGAACUUAAAUGGUUAAAGAAAAGAAACAUUAUGGAGAUGGUGAAGCAUUUAGAGCCUUCAUUACUAAAAAAACAAGAGUUUAAGAUCAGAGCUUAGAAAAAUAUCAUGUACUGAAAUACUAACUUGGACAAAAUAAAAAUUGCUAGGGUAGGCCUGUUCAUGCUAAUGAGGACUAAUGGUAGUAGCUUGCUUGAGCCCUCAGAGUAUUCGAAUCUGUGGGUGUAAUAAUGAAUUUGAAUUGCCUCUACAUAUGCGAAUUUGUGGAUGUAAUAAUGUACACGACGUGCCUGGUUUUUUAAGUUGUCAAAAUGUUUGGAGUCUUUUAUUGUGGUAAGAAUUUAGAAUGAGCUUUUUGAACCUUUAAAUCAAAAGCUGGAACACGAAAUUUGCUAUGAUGAUUUCCAUAAGAAUUUCCGCUUCUUAUCUUAAAAUUCUUUCUCUUUUUUUCAUCUAAUUAAGUUGUAAUGGGUAAACUACAAUUUGCCCUCCCUAGGUUUAGUUUAUUUUUACUUUUGCAUUCUGUUGUUUAAAAAAUUUUAUUUUACUACUCUAUGAUUUAGCUUAUUUCUUACUUUGUCAUUAUGUGGUUCAAGAAGUUACACUUGACUAUUUUGUGGUUGGCACAUAAUUUUAUUUUCCUAUCCUAUUUGACAAUAAAUGUUUCGGAUAAAAAUAAUGAUAAAAUUACAUAAUAGUUAAGUGAUAAUUUUUCAACCACAAGAUAACAAACUAGGAAUAAGUCAAAGGACAUAAUGGCAAAUUAAAGUUUACUUGUUGUAAUAUAUAUCUUUAUGAAUUGAGCUCCUAUACUUUUAGUAGUACAAGUUAUUGGUGCUUGUAGGUUUUUAGUAUUUAGAUUAAGAAACAUAUGGUUAGGAUGAUAUAUAGUGGUUCUCUAGUGUUUAGUAAGUAGUUAGGAUGAUAGUGGUUCUCUAGAGUUGAGUAAGUGGUUGGUUGAAUAGUAUGGUUUAACGGAUGAAAAUGAUCAAAGGAAUAAAUUUAAUAGCCAAAAAUUUAUAAGCACCAAAUGCUACGUGCUUUUAAAAAUAUUAUAACUGAACUCGUAUCUUUAUAUAUUAUUUUCUUGCUUUUCAAUUAUUUACAUGAUAUUUUUACAUUGCAUUCCAUUGAACAGUCCUCACUAGUGACCGUUUUCCCCAAGAACACAUAUGGGGAGCCCAAAUAUCGAACAGUAUCGCUGUGGAAAUCGUAGGUGGACGUGCAAAUCUCGCCAGAUCAUUUUUAACGUCUUUUUUUACUUCUUUAUCGCAGAUAUUCCCAUCGUACGUACUGCUGCCCCACCAAGAGCACAUUCCCGACUGCCUCGCAGUCCACGUCGCAUCGGUUUCCGCGCCAAGCUGCUGGCCGGCUGUCCCGCUGGAAGUGCGGUUCCAGGCAGCCGUGACUGCAAACAGCUGCUGCCGCCGCCUGCAAAGGCUGCGACGCGGAGGGCACGCUACUGUACAUUCCUCCGCGCAUUCCGGCACUCAUACACGACCUUUCAAAAUUAUACAUUUGAAACAGCCAUGCAAUUUCAUAUGUGAAACAAAAUUAAUAAUAUUAGAAGCCUCACGUGACUCAAACUCAUAACUUUUUAUUUUGAUACUACGUGAAACAAUCGUUGUACUCUAAAAUUUUAAGCGGUUAGAGAACGAUAUGCACCUAUUUUUUUGAUAUUUAACAAUACAGAACUCACCUGAGCUAUGGACCAUUUUAAUUCGACUAUUCAUUUUUUAAAUUUUUAAUUUUACUAUUUAAUAUUUUAAUUUGUUUGAUUUGAGUUGGGCAACAUUAUUUUGACUUCAAAACUUUAAUAUGUCGUUUAUCUCUACAAAUACUAUACAUUUCAAGUCAAAGUACCUCUUGAUGGGUUCAAAUCAAACAAAUUAAAAAAUUUGAUAGUAAAAUUAAAAUUUUAAAAAAUUGAAUAGCUGAUUUAAAAUAGUUGAUAAUUUAUAUAAAUUGCGUACGUUUUAACCAAUCUUAAAUUAUAUAAAAUAAUAUUUUUGUACUUUUAAAUAUUCUUUUUUUUAAAAAAAUGUUGCAUUUGGAUCUGUCAUCCGAAAAACUUCAAAUACCAUACUUAUAGUUUCGUAUUUUCUCACUUUAAUACCAUAUGGUUUAAAGUAUAUCACUUUCGUGCCUUGUGGUUUUAUUUUUCUCUUUUUGUUAUCCCCUCCAUUAAUUUUUUUCGUUAAAUCAGUGACAAAGUUAAAACUAAAGGUGACUAAAGUGAAUAUUCGAUAAACUGUAGAUGGGUAUAUGAUUUAACGAAAAGUUAAUAGAGGGACUGACGAAAAAAAAAAAUUAUCAACUAUUUUAAAUGACCCUCCAUAAACUCAAAAUUGGCUAAAUGACCCUGCCAAAGUUUUAUUUAUAAAACUAACCUUCCUUUCGUCACGUGGGAGCCACCUCAGGAUUUUCUCACAAAGACGGUGAAUCGUUUACCGUCUUUGUAAUAUUUGUUGUGAAAGGCGGUGAACUAUUCACCGUCUUUAGUACAAAAUUUUUCUUUUCUGUUUUUUCAAGUCCGCCGUUCCUGUGCCCUCGAAAAGACGGGGAACGAUUCACCGUUUUCUCCCGCCUUAUGAAGACGGUGAAUGAUUCACCGUCGUAUCAAGAACACCAUAUUCUGGACUUGAAAAGAUUUGUGCAUCAGAGUAAGGAUUUGUACUAAAAACGGUGAAUGGUUCACCGCCUUAUGAAGGCGGUGAAUGAUUCACCGUCUUCACAACAAAUAUAACAAAAACGGUGAACGAUUCACCGUCUUUUUGAGGAAUAUCUGACGUGACGCCCACGUGGCGAAAGGAGGCUUAGCUUUGCAAAUAAAAUUUUGGUAGGAUUAUUUUGCCAAAUUUGAAUUCUGGAGGGUCAUUUUAUAAAAAAGCCUCUAUUUUGACUUCAAAACUUUAAUAUGUCGUUUAUCUCUGCAAAUACUAUAUAUUUCAAGUCAAAGUACCUCUCGAUGGGUUCAAAUCAAACAAAUUAAAAAAUUAGAUAGUAAAAUUAAAAUUUUAAAAAAUUGAAUAGCUGAUUCAAAAUAGUUGAUAAUUUAUAUAAAUUGCGUACGUUUUUACCAAUCUUAAAUUAUAUAAAAAAAUAUUUUUGUACUUUUAAAUAUUUUUUUUUAAAAAAAUGUUGCAUUUGGAUCUGUCAUCCGAAAAACUUCAAAUGCCAUACUUAUAGUUUCGUAUUUUCUCACUUUAAUACCAUAUGGUUUAAAGUGUAUCACUUUCGUGCCUUGUGGUUUUAUUUUUCUCUUUUUGUUAUCCCCUGCAUUAAUUUUUUUCAUUAAAUCAGUAACAAAGUUAAAACUAAAGGUGACUAAAGUGAAUAUUCGAUAAACUAUAGGUGGGUAUAUGAUUUAACGAAAAGUUAACAGAGGGACUGACGAAAAAAAAAAAUUUUGAAGCCACAGGGUACUAAAUUGAUACACUUUAAAUUACAUGAUACUAAAGUGAGAAAAUACGAAACUACAUGCGGUAUUUGAAGUUUACCCAAAUCUAAAAUAUAACAGUUACACCGACCAUCCCUAGAGCAAGUGGCAAAGGACUUGGUGGUUGGUACCCGAGACCCAAGUUUGAAUCCUAGUUGAUUUACAAUUCUAGUUAAGUUUAUUUCUAAAUGAAAUAAACGAAACAGAUAGCGUGCUACCUAUCUCUCUCAAAAUAUAAUGGUUACAUGAUGUGAUGCGGUGUCUCCAAUCAAUUAAAUUGUUCCGAAGUUCAAUCAUUCUAUUAUAAUUUUUUUUAAAUUUAAUUUAAUUAUAUAUUUUUUAAGAAAAAUAUAAUUGACUAGAGAUGUGACUUCAGUAAGAUGAUUGAGGGGGCAUUCACAGAAAUACAAGAGUCCCAGCCAACCAAUAAAGUUCGAGCCCACAGGGCCCCACAUUCUCCCACUCUGAUCAUUGCUCUGACCAAGAUCAAACGGUCCGUAUAAUUUUUGGAAUAAAAUAUCACAGGUAUAAAAAUAAGAGCCUCUGAAAAAUUCGAAGGGAAUCCCCCACUUUCUCUUUCAAUAAAAGUUGCAACAUAAAAAAAAAGAAAAAAAGAAAAGAAAAAAAAUAUAUAUAGAACUUAAUUGAAAUUUUAGUCCAUUUAAAUUAACUAUCUAAUCUUUUAAAAUUUUAUUUUUAUUAUUUAAUCUUUUAAUUUAUUUAAUUUGAAUUAAUUAACAAUUUUUUUAUUUUAAAAUUUAAGCUAAUUGCUUACUUUAGUAAAUUUAUAAUUGCGAGAAUUGCAUAUAAACUCUAGAAUUCAGAGAUGUGCGGUUAGAAUGAUAAUGAUCUCUUCGAAUUUAUAUAGUCAUUUCAGAUUGAAUCGGUGGUUAGUUAAAUAUUACAAUCUAACGGAUGAAAGUAAUCAAAGAGAUAAAUCUAACGGCGAAAAACUUAAAAGUAUCAAAUGCUUUGUGCUUUUAAAAGCACUAUAGCUGGAAUAUAUAUAUAAAUAUAAAAGAAAAACUACAUCCCUCUUUACAUUUCUCUAGAAAAGUAGAGAAAAAUAAUGACAUAUAAUAAUAAUUAAUAACAUAAUUAAAAACCAAUUUGAGGAAUUCUCUCACUUGCUAAGUGUUAAUUUACUCAACUACGGUGUUAGUGGACCGUGUCGUGCCGUGCCGUGUCGUGUCGUGUCGAUUUUUCUAUCUCGGGCCAGAUAAUUCCAUCUCUUCUACCUCAUCGAUCGACCGGGAAUCGCCGUCGUUCCAGUAACCAUCGUCGUCGUAGUGAAUCAUGUAGGUAUUUUCGUACGCACUCAGAGGAUCGUCGGUCGGAGGGGGCGGCGGCGGUGGCGGCGGCGGCCGAUUUGAAGCCUCCCACUUGUCGGCGAGGCCGUCGCCUUCGAGCAUUCGGACCACCUCCGACAUCUUGGGCCGGUGGGCCGGGAGGUAUUGGGUGCACAAGAGGGCCACUUGGACCAUCUCGGCGACUUCGAUCCGGUCGUAGGUCGGGCCGAGGUCCGGAUCCACUAGUAGCUCCACUCUCUUCUCCUGGUGGGCCUUUCUCACCUGUAUUUUGAAAAUUAUAAUUAAAAAAAUAAAGAUAAAUUAAAAAUUUUAUCAUACUCAUAGAUAAUUUUUAUCAAAAUUUAAUAAUUUUAGUUACUAAUAUUACUGAGCUAAAUUAAAUACCUAUAGGAGUAAACAAGACUGUUUAUUUUUCUUGUCAUUUCCUCCAACGAGGCAUCUGAAUUGACGAUCAGCGUAGUUAAAUACCAUUUAAUGUUUUAGGUUUCAAAUUUCAUAAAAUUUUCAUAUUAUUUGCUUAGUAUUUUAAGUGGUCUAAAAAGUGGCACAUUUUAAUGGCUAAUAAAUAUGAGCUGAAUUCCAAAUUACUUGAUCAUUAGGCAAAUGAUAUAAUAAAAUUAUCAAAAUUUAAUUUCAAAAAAAAUUAAAUAAUUUUAGAUCAUAUUAAAUAGAGUUGAUCGUUGAAUCGAAUGCUUUAUUGUUGGAACCAAUGUGAAAAUAAACGUCUCUAUUUACUUUUAAAAGUAUUCUAACUUUAUAUUUACUCAUAUAUAGAAGUAUCAUGUAGUAAUCAAUUGAAUUUGACUCCUAAAUUUUGAUAUGUAUUUUUAAUUAUAGCAAUUUAAUAUAAAAUUUUCACCUCAAUUUUAGUUCAAAUGUAUAGUUAAAUUUAACCCUAAUAAAAGUUGAUUUUGUUACAUCAUAACAUGAACUCGCCUAAAAGUCUAUUUUAUUUUAUUGUAGACUUAGCAUUUCUCUUUACUGAAUAAACUUAUCGAUGCUAUACAGGUGCAAUUGAAACAGCGAGGACGAAAUUGAAAUAUCGUACCCAGUCGAGCAUGAUGCCGCCACCGCCGCCGCCACAGCCGCCCUUGUUGGCGUGCUCGGCCGGCGGUGGGAUCGCGCGGCGGCCGGUGACGAGCUCCAGCAGCAGGACGCCGAACCCGAAGACGUCGGUCUUGUCGGACGACUGCCCCGUGGAGAGGUACUCCGGGGCGAUGUGGCCGACGGUCCCGCGCACGGCGGUGGUCACGUGGGACUCGCCGUGGUCCAGCAGCUUCGCGAGCCCGAAGUCGCCCACCGCGGCCUCGCACCGCUCGUCGAGCAGCACGUUGGCGGCCUUGACGUCACGGUGGAUGAUCUUCGGGUCGCACUGCUCGUGCAGGUACACCAGCCCCCGCGCCGCCCCCACCGCAAUUUGCUUCCGCGUGUUCCAGUCCAAUGGCGGCUUACCUGUGCACAAAUCAAUUAAAAUCCGUUACAUUAAUAUAUCAUCAGCAGUCCACAAGAUGUGCAUUAUAUAAGGACAUUCAAAUUAUUACUAAUAGGUAAAAAGAGCAAAGAAUUUAUCAGAAAUAUGAACGAUUUUGAGUCAGCAACUCAAUCUUUUCAAAUUUUGAAUUCACUAAAUCUUUCAAUUUGAUUUUAUUAUCAUCUUGAGUCACCUAAUAUUUUAAAUUUUGAUCUAACUACCUAUUUUUUUAGUUUGAUUGGAGUCACCCAACGACACUUUGACUUCAAAAUUUAAAUGCGUUGUUUAUUUUUACAUGUUAAGUUAGUAUAUUUUAUUCAAUUCUCGCAACUAUAAAUUUAUUAAAAUACACGACUAACUUAAAUUUUAAAGUAUAAGUAUAAUUGACUGACUCAAAUUAAACAAAUUGAAAAAUGAGACGAAAAAAAUUAAAAUUUUAAAAAAUUAUAUUUUAACACUCUCUUCAUUUAAAGACUACUAUUUUUUUUUACUUGUGACAUCAAUUCUUUUUUAUUUUUACUAAAAGUUAUUUAAAAUUUUUUGAAUUUUAGGAUUGAGAUGUAUAUUUAUUUUUUUAGUUGUAUAAAUAUGAAUUUUUUUUUCCAGUUCAGAUAAUUUAAGUUUAUUUUCACCUUUGCUAAUUUAUUAGCAUAUAUUAUAUAAAAUUUUUAAGACACAUCAUUUCUCUCGAGGAAAAAUGAUAACUUAUAAAAUAAUAAAAUAAUAAAAAGGAGGAAAAAAAGGAAAAAGAGGAAAGAAGAGCAUUUGGUGGGGUCCACAACGACGGUCAAAAUCAGGACCGUGAGACCGAUGCGCGUCAUCAUUAGCCGUGCGAUCACCGUCGUACGGUGAUGAUAACGACUGCGUACACAAAACCAAAUUUUUUAUACGGGGUGGGCCCACGUGACCGCAUAAGGCUAUUAUGCGGGACCAACGCACCGUUGCGGGGUAUAGAGAGAGAGACGAGACUCCCCAGGUAGGGCCCACGCUCACUUUAUACAAUAUUUUUUUGGUAAAAAUGCAUUGAGACCCCUCAACCAUGACUCGUCCUGUAAAAAGCCCCUCAAUUUUUAUUUAAUUCUACUGAGACUCUAGUUCUAAUUUGUUUUUAUUAUUGUUAACUAAAAUUUAAUUAAUUUCAAAAAAAAAAAAAAGUUAACAGAGUAUGAUAAAAAAAAAGUUGAGGGCGCAAUUUUGAAAAUGUCAAUAGAUGAGGGGCCUUUUUAAUUAUUUGCAUCAAGUUUUAAAAUAUAAUUAAUUUGGCGAUUUUAUUUUGAAUGAUUUAUGCACGUACCGCGAAGACGGGAGGCGACGCUGCCGUUAGGCAUGAACGGAUAGACGAGCAGGCGCUCGCCGGGGGCGGCGCAGAAGCCGAUGAGGCGGAGGAGGUUACGGUGUACGGCGAGGCUGAUCAUCUCCAAUUCGGUCCGGAACUGCGCCUCCCCCGGCCCGAAGAGCCGCCGACGUCCUUCAGCCGCUUCACCGCCACCGCCGUCCCGUCCGACAACCGCCCCUUGUACACGUUCCCGAACCCGCCCUUCCCGAUAACAUUCCGACGGUUGAAACCGUCAGUUGCGUGUAAUAACUCUCUUAGCGUGAACUGCCGCAGAUUCCCCGGCGCUGCCACCACCUCUCCGUCGUCGUCGUACUCCGUCUCUGAAAAAAAAGAAAAGAAAAGAAAAAAAAAAAGAGUUCAUUAAAAUCGUAAAAAUUCAUUAACUUUUGAAUAAAUAUAAGUAUUUGAUAGGGGCAAAUUAAUCACCAUUUAUACCAAGCACGAAUUUGUGCUUCUGCUUUUUCGUGCGCCGCCAUAGUAAGAAGGAAACAGUUAGUAGAAGAAGCGUAGAGACACCGAGGCUUGUGCCCAUCGCAACGGCUAGUUUUCGACCCUUCGAUCUCUCUGAAUUAAAUCAAAAAAACAAAAACAUAUCAAUAAUUAGAAAAAAAAAAAAGGAAAAACAUCAAAUACCCCCUAUGUGAUUUUAUUCUUUCUCACUUUAGUAUCCUGCGGUUUAAAGUGUAUCAAGUUAGUACGCUGUGAUCUUACACUUUCUCACUUUAGUACCCUGUGGUUUAAAGUGUAUCAAGUUAGUACUCUAUGGUUUCAUUUUUAUAUCAAGUUAGUACCCUGUGGUUUCAUUUUUCUCUUUUUAUUAUCAAUUUCGGAAUAUUUUUUUUCGUUAAAUCAGUGACAAAGUUAAAACUAAAGGGUGCUAAAAUAAAUAUUCGUUAAACCUAGAUAGGAUAUUUGAAGUUUUUUGUAUAUAAUUUAAUGAAAUUUUAAACCACAGGAUACUAGAGUGAGAAAGUGCGAAACCAUAUGGUACUAACUUGAUAUAUUUUAAACCACAGGAUACUAAAGCGAGAAAGUGCGAAAUCACAGGGUACUAACUUGAUACACUUUAAAUCACAGAAUAUUAAAGUGAGAAAGUGCGAAACCACAGGAGGGAUUUGAAGUUUUUCCAAAAAAAAAUGUAUAAAGCCUCACUUAACAUGCAUAAUAGACCCCUAAACUUUAUUUAUUUAUUUGUUUAUUUAUUUACACUUUUUUACCUCGUGAAUUUUUGAAAUGGAGCAAUUUUAGUCAGAUAUGUUAAAUUCAUCAAAAUUAUUAAUGAUUCUGACAAAUUUAAUAAUUUUAAUUAUUUUUUAUUAAAUAAAAUAAAAACAAUUACAAUUAAUGGCUUAAAAGUUAUGAAAUUUUAAAAUAAUUUUUAUCUUAUACAACUAGAGCUAUUUAAAUCAAAAUAAUUAAUAAGCAAUUGCUAGUAACAUUAUUAAAAUUAAUGAAAUUUUUUAAAAAAAGGCUCAUAGUUGAGUAGCUCUCCAUACAAUUUUACCCAAAAAAAAAAACAAUACCCAACUCAAAAAAAAAAUUGCCAAAUUUGUGAAAACAGCUAGGACAAAUGUAAAAAUCCCAACUUAAUUUUUUCCCAAAUUUGUGAAAGGAAAAAAGUAAGGGCAUAUUUAAGAUCCCUGCACAAUUUUACCCAAAUUUGUGAAAAAUACAAGGGCAUAUGUGUAAAUUUGCUCACUUACUCUUAGAUGAUUCCAAAAGAAAAGGGAGAGAAAUUGGUGAAGGGGUUCUUGAGCACUCUUGUGUUGAGUGGGUCCCACAUAUUAGGGGAUUACCCACAAUGCUGUGUAGAGAGAGAAAGAAUUUAAAGAGAGAGAAAAAAAUAAUUUAAAAAAUUCAAGCUAGUUAUUUAUUUUAGUAAAUUUACAAUUAUACAAAUUUACAAAUUUACUAUAUAUGUUGAUUAAACUAGUAAAAAUAAACGAUACAUUUAAAUUUUAAAGUUAAAAAAUCAUAAAUCAACCGAAAUCAAAUAAAUUUAAAAGUCUGAUAAUAAAAUUUAAAAAAAAAAUAGAGAUAGAGAGAGAAACAUACUUAAAGGUUCUUGCAGGAAACAAGGGAACAGGACCACUCAGGUUGUUGUAGGACAAGUCCCUGUAAAAUAGUGACAUUUUUAGUUGUUUAUUAUAAACUUGGAAUUAAUUUAUGCAAACAAAAAAAAGGAAAAAAAAAAGUAUGGAGACCUCCUCCUAUUUUCAAUAAAACUUAAUUUAAAAUAAUUAGAAGCUCAGAAAAUUCAAUUUUUUUUAGAAAAAUAGAGGCUUUUUGAGAGUUAUCAUAUCGCAAUUUUUUUCGUAGAAAAAUUCUGUGCACGAGAUGUUAAUAAUGCUGCUCAUCAGCUAUAAUUACUUAACAGCUUUGAUGCGUCGGCUACCACUGAUGAGCGGCAAAAUCAAUCUAUGCACAGAAUUUUUCUAUGUACGAAUUUGCACGAAAACUAAGGUCGCUUCUCGUAGAAAAAUUCUGCGCACGAGGUAUUGUUUUUGCUGCUGCUACUCAUCAGCUGUAGUUAACCAACGGACUUGAUGCAUCCUAUCACUGAUGAGCAGUAAAAUUAAAAUAUGCACAAAAUUUUUCUGCGUACGAACUUCAUGAGGUGUUGUUGCUGCUGCUCAUCAAGUUGUAGCUAAUCGACGGCCUUGAUCCGUCUUAUCACUAAUGAGCAAAAAAAAAAUUAAUUUAUGCACAGAAUUUUUCUGCGCACGAAUUUGCACGAGAACUGAGAUGACUCUCUAGUCUCCUUAUAUUCGUAUCAUUAAUUUAAAUAGAAGAAUUAAUAAUUUGAGAAUAAUCAAUCUAUGUUCAUACAAGAAUGUGAGCUGAGGGAUCUUCGACAAUGUCGCAGGGAAUGCUCCCGACAAGCUGUUGUUGUUGAGUCUCCUGAUUGUCAUGCAUAAUAUAAAAUACAGAUCAAAAUAAAUAUCAAAAUAAUAUUUCUUUUUUCGAGAACAACAAAAGAGAAUUAAAAAAAAAAAUUUACGAAAUAUAAGCCCGAAUUAGAUUAUUCGGGGGUAAAUACACCGCUUAACUAUUUUUAUGUCGAUUAAGAUAUGUUUAAAAUUUUAAAAAAAUUUAUUGAAUUUAAUUAUUCUAUUGAAUAAAUUUACGAAAUAUAUUGCAAAAUGCUAUUUUUUUAUAAUAAUUAGCACCCUUUAUUUUUUUUUGUGAUUAAAUAAUUAUUAUUAUCCACUAAAUUAAAGAUCUUUCUGAACUCAUGAAAAAUUUUAAUCAGAAUAACCAACAACUAACAGCAAAAUUUUCAACUUAGCUUAUAACAAAAAACUAGAUGAAAAAAAUAAAUUAAGAGUUAAAAAAAGUGGUCAAUCAAAAAGAUUUAGGAUUAGGGCCUAUUUCAAAAUAGUCUAUAACUAAAAAGGAUAAUUUAAAGGGGAAACUUUAAAUACCAUUCCUGUAAUUUCACACUUUCUUACUUUAAUACUCCAUAGUUUAAAGUGUAUCAAUUUAGUACCCUGUGAUUUUAUUUUUAUCCUUUUAUUAUCGAUUUCACUAAUUUUUUUCGUUAAAUCAGUGACAAAGUUAAAAUUAAAGAGUACUAAAGUGAAUAUUCGAUAAACCUAGGUGGGGUAUCUGAAGUUUUUUUUUUAUAUAAUUUAACGAAAAAGUCGACGAAAAAAUAAAAAUAAAACCAGGAUUGCGGAGAGAUUGUGUUAUGUGCGGUGAGAAAGUACGUUGGAAAAAUACUUUGUUUGUUUUCGUACGUAAUAUUGCGUUCCGCUAUGAGUCGGCUACGAUAUAUUUUCUGCGGUCCCACCGAAGAACGCAGAAGCAUAUUUGAUAUGCCUCAAUACCAAACUAAGUCUUAAUACGCUUUAAAUUACAUAACAGUAAAGUGAGAAAGUGCGAAACCAUAUGGAUGGUAUUUAAAAUUUAUCCUAAUUUACAACUCACAAAUAUCGAAGGUUCGAGAGGCGACCCAGGGAUUCUGGGAGCGGGCCCGAGAAGCCGUUGUUGGAGAGGUCGAGAGUUUGGAGCUUCUGAAGCAACCCCAGUUCCUGGGGAAGCUCCCCUGUUAUGUUAUUAUUUUGCAACAACCUAAAAAUAAUAAUAAAAGAAAAAAAUAUAUAAAUAAAUCAGUAAAAAAAAAUUAAAAAUUGUAGGUAUUUUAUAAGAAUAAAUUAAUGAGAUUGUGUUUAUUUCAUUGUUUUAAAAAAAUAAUAUCUAAAAAUAUCCUAAGAAUUAUAUUAAGCAAAAGUACCUUUUAUUUUAUUUUAUUUGAGAAUUAAUUGAUAAUAAUUAUUAUUAUAAUAAUGCUUACACUUGUUGGAGAUUGGUGAGGUUGGAGAUUCUCCCUGAUAGAGUUCCUGAUAGGCUCUGGCUUGGUGCUCCACUAAAUUAUAAAAAAUAAAAAAAGAAAAAAUUAAAGCCAAAUUUAAUUAAUUUGAGUAAUUUGUUUUUUUUAGCUAAAAUGUAAUUUAAUUACCACGUAGAAAUGUGACAUUUUACACACACCAUUUUCCAAAUAAAGUUUCGUUCACUAUACCAUCCAAAAUAAGAAAAUCAUGUUUUUUUUCCUCCUUUUAUUAAUAUAGAAAUAAGAUGCACAUGCAACACAAUAGAUUCACAAGAUAACAAAUAUAUAUAUAUAUAUUUAUAUAUGAGUUGAAUUUUUGCGUUUCUAAAAGCACAGAAGCUCGACGUCUUCAAAAUUCGUAUCGUAUUAAUAAAAAAGAUAUAUUAUUAAUAAUGCCGUACGAAUUUUGAAACGAUCCCAUGACUAAAUAAUUAUAAGAAAAAAUGCUCAUGUACUUUUAAUUAAAAGCAUAUAUAUAUAUAUAUAUAUAAUGAUAACUAAAUUAUAAUAUUUUAUAGGAAAAAANAAGAAAUCCUUAAUUCAAUCAUAAAUUAACCCACAUGUGUAAAAGUUGAAGAAGAAAGGAGAAAAAAACAAAGUGGAAAAAGAGAAUGAUAAUAAUAAUAAUUAAUAAUAAUUAAUAAAAAGAAAAAGGAAAAUCUCACAAGGCAAUAACAAGGUUGAGUGAGGAGCAGGUGAUCAUGGCCCAGCUACAGGGAUCAACAGAGUCCUCAUCCCAGUUGCUCAAGACACCAUGUGGGUCUCUCAGAUCCCUUCUUAUUGCUAUCAAAGCCUCCACUAAUUACAUUAAAAAACAAAAAAAAGCAAAGGAAAAAAGAAGAUAAAUUAAUUGUUAGAUAGAUUUAAACACACACACACACACACACACAGAGAGAGAGAGAGAGAGAGAGAGAGAGAGAGAGAGAGAGAGAGAGAGAGAUUGGUUGGUUAUGAUAGUAGUUGGGUUUCACCUUCUGGGUUGAGAGGUUCAGAGGAGAAGGUGAAUGUGGGGAAGGAGAGUGAGAAGAAGAGAGGAAGAAGCCAUGAGAGGAGUGUGUAGAAGAGCUUGGAAGAAGCCAUUGUUGGAGUAUUAGAGAGAGAGAGAGAGAGAGAGAGAGAGAGAAUAUGAAUAUGAAUAAUGAUGGUGAUGUGAGGAUAAUGUGAGAGGGGUGGUCACUCAAAUGCAUCCUCCCUCCUGCAUGAAAAGAAUGAUGGUAAAUUUGCAUGAAGACCCCUUUCUUAUAGGAUAUUCUUAUUGGGGCCCCUGAGUUUUCUGUUCUGUAUUUUAUCAAAACUCCUUCCUAAGUUUCGCUUUUUUCUCCUCUCAUUUAUCGGUCAAUUAUAUAACUGAAUGGUUUUGCAAAUUUAUCAAUUAAAUGAAUGGGUUAUUUCUUUCAUUCCAAGAGGUUCAGAAUUUAAUUUCCAAUUUCAUUAUUUACUAUUAUAAAUUUUUUACAUAAGUUUUUAUUAUCGUGGUAUCUAUUUUAUUAUUUAUUUUAUUAGUGUACAUGAUAUCGAUUGCCUGAUUUUUACUAUAAGUAUGAGUAAAAGCGUUAAUAUUAUUUUUGAAUUAUUGUAUAUUGAAUCGACAUUGUACGUCUUUACUUUAACAAAAUUCAGAUCAAAGAGAUUUAGAUUAAAUUAAAUAAAAGUUAGAAGAGUACAUCAAUGAGAAAGGAAAAAAAGAAAAGACUUAAUAUUUACGGAGAAUAAUUAUGGGGAAUGUAGCGUGUAUAGCAUUCCAUGAUGCAUGAUGCAUGAUGCAUGAUGGGGGGCCCAUGAUGAGGGGAAGUGCAUGACAUGGGGGGAUAAAGUGAGCAUGGCAUGUGGAUGCAUGAGGAACUCGAAAUCAAGAAGUUGAUUCUGGUGCCAGUAGAGAGAGAAAGAGUUGAAGAGAGAGAGAGAGAGAGUUGAACAGAGAGAGAGAGAGAGAGAGAGAGAGUUUGUUUACUCACACUCCUAGCAUGCAUGUAUUGCUUUGGAAAUGAGGAUAAAGAGAGGAUAAAAAGAAGAGAGAGAGAGAGAGAGAGAGAGAGAGAGAGAGAGGAGCUUUUUAUGUUUCUUUUAUGCAUUUUCUUUCUCUCUUUAGAUAAAGGUGAAAAGAGAGAAGGGACUGUGCUGGGGCUCCUUUGGGUGAUGCAUCAUUUUGUGUUCUACUGAAAUUUUGAAUCUUUAAUUUGGUUUAGCAGUGCUUAUACAAAUGUUUAUAUGGUGUUUGGUUUAAUUUGGAUUUGAUCAUCAAAAAAAUCAUCCUUGAAUGUUGGAUUUAAUCCAUUUUGGCUCACUCCUGCUGCUUGGAGAUUGGUGCAGUAUAUGUGGACUUGCAUGAUGAAAAUGAGAACCAAUGUGUUUUCCAUUUUUGCCAUUUUUUUAGUGCAUUUGAAGAUCCCCUACUUCCUAAUUAUUUUAUAUUAAUAUAUUUCUAUGAGCUGUUAAUGUUUUCUGAAUAUGGCAUAUACAAACCAUUCACUAUAGAAGCCUCACAUGGAAAUAUAUCUAAGGCAAACGCAAUAGACAUUUAUCACUAUAGAAGCCUCACAUGGAAUAGUCUCUCCCACAGUUUAAACUUUUGGAAACAAAUGUAUAUCUUCCUUGGUCAAACAACAUUAGCUAAUGCAAUUUAUUUGUGUCUCUUAUUUUUUUACUUAAAACUGACACUGCCAUAUUUUCAUGAAUAUUUUAAAUGGUGAAAGAUAUAAAGGAAAAAGGAGAAUGGCAAAGUAGGUAUAUAUAUUAAAAAAAAAAGAAAAGAAGAAAACAUAAAGCAGAGUCAUCUCACUUUUCCCCCUUGCAUUUCACACUUUGGGUAUCUCCAAAGCUAAAGAUAAUAAGCAUGAGGGAUUGGUGUAGCUUUUGGGGUGCUAACACAUGUGAAUGUAGCUAUCUUGAGAUCCCUUUGUAAUCUCCAAAACUAAAUUCUUUUGCUAACAUAUAUAGGAUCCCAAUCAUAUGUGUAAUAAAUUGAUAAAUUUUUUUUCUCUACUUUUGUAAUGAUGUUAAUAUGUAUUGCAUAGUCCUUUAUUAGCUACUUGAAGUGAAUUUGGUGUAAGUGGCUAAGUGUGUUAAAUAUAAAAAUAUAUAAACAUCGUUAUCUAACGGCUUAAGUUUUUGAGUAAUGUUUCUAUACUUUUUUUUUUUUGUUACCAUUCAUUCACGUGUAUUCAACGGCUCAGAUUUAGUUUUUUUAAAAUUGUGACCUGCAAUAGCAGGUCACUUUAGGAGAGGUACCGAUUACUAGGUAUCUCAAAAAAGAAUAUUUUUCUCUUUUAAUACAGGGGCAAUUUAGUCAUUUUACAUCUACUAUAUUUUCAAAAUUUUUAUUUUUUCUUUGUUUCCUUUUUCUCUCUCUAUCUUUCAUUUCAUAAUUUGGCAUUUCAUACAAGAAAAAUUUCAAAUGAUUUGACAAUAUAAUCAUUGAAUUUAAACUUUAAAUAGUAAUAUGAAAUUCCUCUCAUUUAAAUUUCACUUUUAAAUUUAAAAUUUAAUAUUAUAUUCAAAUUUAUAUUUUAAAAAUUUAAGUUUCAUAUAAAUACUUUGAAAUAUGGUAAACAGAAAUAAUUGUUUGAAUUCUAAUCUUCUGGUUUAGGUUUGGUUUUGGGUUUCGAAAAAUUGGUCAGUUUUGAAUUUGGAUAUGGAUUUUUGAAAUCCGUCGAGUUCGGAAAUAAGUUUUGUAAUUGUUAGUCAGAUUCGAAUUCAAAUUCCUAACUAUUUUUUUUCUCACCAAUAAUUCUAAUCUUUUUAAUUUAUAUGUUUAAAAUUAUAUUUAAAAU
rnacentral:lncRNA from 1 species